UACUCAGGUGGCCUAGUGGUUAGAGCAUCCGCCUCGGAUGCAGGAGGUUGUGGGUUCGACCUCCGUAUGAGUCA